GACGUAGGGUGCGAGCGUUGUCCGGAUUUAUUGGGCGUAAAGAGCUCGUAGGCGGCUCGUCGCGUCGACCGUGAAAACCCGCAGCUUAACUGCGGGCUUGCGGUUGAUACGGGCGGGCUAGAGUUCGGUAGGGGAGACUGGAAUUCCUGGUGUAGCGGUGAAAUGCGCAGAUAUCAGGAGGAACACCGGUGGCGAAGGCGGGUCUCUGGGCCGAAACUGACGCUGAGGAGCGAAAGCGUGGGGAGCGAACAGG
rnacentral:rRNA from 1 species